rnacentral:rRNA from 1 species
GAGUUUGAUCCUGGCUCAGGACGAACGCUGGCGGCGUGCCUAACACAUGCAAGUCGAACGGGGUCCAACCAGUCGCAAGACUGGGGAAGACCUAGUGGCGAACGGGGUGAGUAACACGUGAGGAACCUGCCCCGAAGACCGGGAUAACCCUCCGAAAGGAGAGCUAAUACCGGAUACCCCAACCAGGUCGCAUGUUCUGGUUCGGAAAUGGAUUCCGCUUCGGGAGGGCCUCGCGGCCUAUCAGCUUGUUGGUGGGGUAACGGCCCACCAAGGCUUCGACGGGUAGCUGGUCUGAGAGGACGAUCAGCCACACUGGGACUGAGACACGGCCCAGACUCCUACGGGAGGCAGCAGUGGGGAAUCUUGCACAAUGGGCGAAAGCCUGAUGCAGCAACGCCGCGUGGGGAUGAAGGCCCUCGGGUUGUAAACCCCUUUCAGCAGGGACGAAGCUACUCGGGUUAAUAGCCCAGAGGGUGACGGUACUUCCAGAAGAAGCCCCGGCUAACUACGUGCCAGCAGCCGCCGUAAG